GCUCUGUGGGUUGCUGAUGGUCCAUGCU
rnacentral:piRNA from 1 species